rnacentral:lncRNA from 1 species
GUUGGUUGUUCAGAGAUGUUGAGAGAUCAACCAGGAGACUGUGGGAGGAUGUGAGCUCUCUGAGAAGGAGAAGAAGUAUUUACAUUAGAAGUCUGAUUCACAGGUCGGGGCAAAGUGAAAAACAUCUGCACUUUUAAAAGGUCACAGUGUUUGGACACCGCAUGAACAUGCCAAUUUCCUGUGUUGUAAUAUUUUUAUGCACUUUAAGAAGACCACCAGAAACAGCAGAGUGAGUGAAUGACUGAGGCGCAUAUUGGACAAAAAUCACUUAUCCAAGACCACGUUACUACAACCCCAGGGCACAGAAGCUAAGUCUUCCUAUUGUACUGAACUCAGUUGACUGGAAUUUGUUCAGGAAAGCAUGAAGUCAAAUGGAAGCUAGUCCGUGACUGGAUUCAUCUUUUGGUAAAAAACGAAGAGGAGACCCCAUAUCCUGGAGGUUCUUGCUUAACCCUGUCCCUAAUAAGACCUAACUUUAUGAGUCUUCUCCUUAGAGGCAGUCCUAGGGUAAGAGUGAUUAUUCCUGUGAGCCUUGUAGGUACUUUCGAAUCAAGGAAAUUAGUAGUUGAUUGCUAAUUAAUUCAGUAUUUAAUGAAUUUAAGUACCUAGGCAAUGAGGCCACAAUAGCAAAUAAGACACAGACCUGUUUUCAAAAAGUAGCCUGUAAAUAAGAUAUUUUUUUCUGCCAUGGUGGCAAAGGCAUGACUAUGGUGAUGAACAUUCAUAGGCUCACCUUCUAGCUCUGUUGUAUGUUAACUGUGUGAACUUGGGUCAAGUUAUGAAAACUCUAAGAACUCUCAAAACUCCUGAUCUGUUUUAACAUGAAAGUAAAGAUAUCUAAUUGAAUUGUUGUGAAACUUAAAUGUAAUGUGACAUCCAAAGAAUGUAGCCCAAAGUUGGAUUUCAGUAAGUGAUAAAUAGAAGUAUUUAAACAUGGGUAUGGUAUGUUCUGUAACAGAAGAAUGUCUAUGUGCUGGGGAUACCUAGAGACAGUGAAAAUUCUGUCUGGCCUGCGAAUUAUAAUAAAAUGACUCUUUAAAGUC